UGUCUGGGAAACUGCCUGAUGGAGGGGGAUAACUACUGGAAACGGUGGCUAAUACCGCAUAACGUCGCAAGACCAAAGAGGGGGACCUUCGGGCCUCUUGCCAUCAGAUGUGCCCAGAUGGGAUUAGCUUGUUGGUGAGGUAACGGCUCACCAAGGCGACGAUCCCUAGCUGGUCUGAGAGGAUGACCAGCCACACUGGAACUGAGACACGGUCCAGACUCCUACGGGAGGCAGCAGUGGGGAAUAUUGCACAAUGGGCGCAAGCCUGAUGCAGCCAUGCCGCGUGUAUGAAGAAGGCCUUCGGGUUGUAAAGUACUUUCAGCGGGGAGGAAGGUGUUGUGGUUAAUAACCGCAGCAAUUGACGUUACCCGCAGAAGAAGCACCGGCUAACUCCGUGCCAGCAGCCGCGGUAAUACGGAGGGUGCAAGCGUUAAUCGGAAUUACUGGGCGUAAAGCGCACGCAGGCGGUCUGUCAAGUCGGAUGUGAAAUCCCCGGGCUCAACCUGGGAACUGCAUUCGAAACUGGCAGGCUUGAGUCUUGUAGAGGGGGGUAGAAUUCCAGGUGUAGCGGUGAAAUGCGUAGAGAUCUGGAGGAAUACCGGUGGCGAAGGCGGCCCCCUGGACAAAGACUGACGCUCAGGUGCGAAAGCGUGGGGAGCAAACAGGAUUAGAUACCCUGGUAGUCCACGCCGUAAACGAUGUCUACUUGGAGGUUGUGCCCUUGAGGCGUGGCUUCCGGAGCUAACGCGUUAAGUAGACCGCCUGGGGAGUACGGCCGCAAGGUUAAAACUCAAAUGAAUUGACGGGGGCCCGCACAAGCGGUGGAGCAUGUGGUUUAAUUCGAUGCAACGCGAAGAACCUUACCUGGUCUUGACAUCCACAGAACUUUCCAGAGAUGGAUUGGUGCCUUCGGGAACUGUGAGACAGGUGCUGCAUGGCUGUCGUCAGCUCGUGUUGUGAAAUGUUGGGUUAAGUCCCGCAACGAGCGCAACCCUUAUCCUUUGUUGCCAGCGGUCCGGCCGGGAACUCAAAGGAGACUGCCAGUGAUAAACUGGAGGAAGGUGGGGAUGACGUCAAGUCAUCAUGGCCCUUACGACCAGGGCUACACACGUGCUACAAUGGCGCAUACAAAGAGAAGCGACCUCGCGAGAGCAAGCGGACCUCAUAAAGUGCGUCGUAGUCCGGAUUGGAGUCUGCAACUCGACUCCAUGAAGUCGGAAUCGCUAGUAAUCGUGGAUCAGAAUGCCACGGUGAAUACGUUCCCGGGCCUUGUACACACCGCCCGUCACACCAUGGGAGUGGGUUGCAAAAGAAGUAGGUAGCUUAACCUUCGGGAGGGCGCUUACCACUUUGUGAUUCAUGACUGGGGUGAAGUCGUAACAAGGUAACCGUAGGGGAACCUGCGGUUG
rnacentral:rRNA from 1 species